GAUGAACGCUGGCGGCGUGCCUAAUACAUGCAAGUCGAGCGAACAGACGAGGAGCUUGCUCCUCUGACGUUUGCGGCGGACGGGUGAGUAACACGUGGAUAACCUACCUUUAAGACUGGGAUAACUUCGGGAAACCGGAGCUAAUACCGGAUAAUAUAUUGAACCGCAUGGUUCAAUAGUGAAAGACGGUUUUGCUGUCACUUAUAGAUGGAUCCGCGCCGCAUUAGCUAGUUGGUAAGGUAACGGCUUACCAAGGCGACGAUGCGUAGCCGACCUGAGAGGGUGAUCGGCCAAACUGGAACUGAGACACGGUCCAGACUCCUACGGGAGGCAGCAGUAGGGAAUCUUCCGCAAUGGGCGAAAGCCUGACGGAGCAACGCCGCGUGAGUGAUGAAGGUCCUCGGAUCGUAAAACUCUGUUAUUAGGGAAGAACAAAUGUGUAAGUAACUAUGCACGUCUUGACGGUACCUAAUCAGAAAGCCACGGCUAACUACGUG
rnacentral:rRNA from 1 species